rnacentral:rRNA from 1 species
UACGAAGGGGGCUAGCGUUGUUCGGAAUCACUGGGCGUAAAGGGUGCGUAGGCGGGUCUUUAAGUCAGGGGUGAAAUCCUGGAGCUCAACUCCAGAACUGCCUUUGAUACUGAGGAUCUUGAGUUCGGGAGAGGUGAGUGGAACUGCGAGUGUAGAGGUGAAAUUCGUAGAUAUUCGCAAGAACACCGGUGGCGAAGGCGGGUCUCUGGGCCGAUACUGACGCUGAGGAGCGAAAGCGUGGGGAGCGAACAGG